GAGGAUGGCGGCAGCCGCGGGACGGUGCUGAGGAUGGCGGCGGCCAUGGAAGGUGCUCCCUGCUUCUGCGCGGAUCCAGGCCUUCGGGAUCUCGCCCUCUGCAGUGCGGAGAACUCACUGGACGGAGACGAGAGAGGCGGCGGCGGCUGCACAGCUGGUGCGUGGGGACUGGGGGGCGGGUGAGCGCUGUCCUUGGCUGGGGAGGAAGCGCAGCCCCCGGAAGCCCGCCUGGGGCUGCAGGGAGAAAGGAGGGCGCCCCAGAGCCAAGGCUGCCCGCUGGUCCCUGCGACCGGGGCCCGGAGAAAGUGCGGGAAGGAGAGAGAAGGCUGGUGGCCGCCUGCCUCCAGGGCGGGCCUCCGAGCAGUGCCCUGUCCCAGCCACAGCCUUGCUUCUUUUGAUCCUCAUCACGACCGCUCUCCGGGCCAGGCCGUGGGUGAGGCCCCCAGGCCUUCAGGGGAGAAGCCGGGGUCUCCAGAGAGAGGUAACAGAGUGAGAACGGCCGUGGGUAGCGCGCCCCUCGGCCCCGCAGCUCUCCACAGGCCUCUGGCGAGCUCAGCUGACCUGCCCCAUCAGUGAGGUCUCUGCUCAGCUACCACCUGCUCUGAGAAGCCUUCUCUGCCAGGGUGACUCAUUACCCUGAUUUGCCAGGACUGAGUGGGUUCCUGGAGCGGCCUGGGAGCCGGCGGCGGUGGUGGCUUUCCUGAGCCCUGUUUGUCUAAUGUAGGCCCGGUUCGCACUGUUCAUUCACUCUGCUCCUCAGUUACUUUACGGCAAUUAACACCAAUCUGUUCUCAAAACGUGAGGUCCUCUUGCUCAGGGCUGUGUUCCUAGCACGCGGCCCUUGCCUGACACACGGCUGACAUUCAGCGCACAUUUAAACGAGUAGAUCAACUGCUCCAUCUUCCCCCAGAAGCUCUGUCUGUCCCUCCACAACUUGGCUCAUGCCAUCUCUUCCAUAAGCGCCGUGUGCUCUUCUCUCUCAGAAAAAAACUAUUUGUUUCUUGACAGCUCAGCUCAAAUAUCAGCUUCUCUCGACCCCAGGCACGAGCGUGGGUCCCGAAACCCUGGUGCCCUCCACAGUGUGUGUUCAGUAAAUGACUCUACGUUUAUCCCUGUAGCUGCCAGUGUUAUCAACUUUGGCCUAUGUUUUCUGAAUUAUUUUUGAAUCUUUAUUUUGUAAUCCAAUCUAUUAGUGACCCAUAACAGGCCGUGUCAUCCACAAUUAAAUAAAUGUGCACUCUCUA
rnacentral:lncRNA from 1 species